CAGCCGCCGCGGUAAUUCCGGCGGCCCGAGUGGCGGUCACUAUUAUUGGGCUUAAAGCGUCCGUAGCCGGGUUGGGAAGUCCUCCGGGAAAUCUGGCCGCUUAACGGUCAGAAUGCCGGAGGAUACUCCCAGCCUAGGGAGCGGGAGAGGCCGAGGGUAUUCCCGGAGUAGGGGUGAAAUCCUAUAAUCCCGGGAGGACCACCUGUGGCGAAGGCGCUCGGCUGGAACGCGUCCGACGGUGAGGGACGAAGGCCAGGGGAGCAAACCGGAUUAGAUACCCGGGUAGUCCUGGCGGUAAACGAUGCGGACUUUGUGUCGGACAAGCUAUGAGCUUGUCCGGUGCCGGAGGGAAACCGUUAAGUCCGCCGGCUGGGGAGUACGGCCGCAAGGCUGAAACUUAAAGGAAUUGGCGGG
rnacentral:rRNA from 1 species